rnacentral:rRNA from 1 species
AGCGAACGCUGGCGGCAGGCCUAACACAUGCAAGUCGAACGAAGUCUUCGGACUUAGUGGCGGACGGGUGAGUAACACGUGGGAACGUACCUUUUGGUUCGGAACAACUCAGGGAAACUUGAGCUAAUACCGGAUGUGCCCUUAGGGGGAAAGAUUUAUCGCCGAAAGAGCGGCCCGCGUUAGAUUAGCUAGUUGGUGAGGUAAAGGCUCACCAAGGCUACGAUCUAUAGCUGGUCUGAGAGGAUGAUCAGCCACAAUGGGACUGAGACACGGCCCAGACUCCUACGUGAGGCAGCAGUGGGGAAUCUUGCGCAAUGGGCGAAAGCCUGACGCAGCCAUGCCGCGUGAAUGAUGAAGGUCUUAGGAUUGUAAAAUUCUUUUACCAGGGACGAUAAUGACGGUACCUGGAGAAAAAGCCCCGGCUAACUUCGUGCCAGCCGCCGCCGUAAGAC